GGUGGUUCUUGGGUGAUGCACCCUUGAAUCGGGCUCCCUCCUCUCUGGUUCUGGGUGCAUACCCAAGAACUGCA
rfam:Myotis lucifugus cont2.71157, whole genome shotgun sequence.